rnacentral:rRNA from 1 species
GAUGAACGCUAGCGGCAGGCUUAAUACAUGCAAGUCGAGGGGCAGCAUGAUUGUAGCAAUACAAUUGAUGGCGACCGGCAAACGGGUGCGGAACACGUACACAACCUUCCAACAAGUGGGGGAUAGCCCAGAGAAAUUUGGAUUAAUACCCCGUAACAUAGCGAUGUGGCAUCACAUUGCUAUUAUAGAUUUUUCGCUUGUUGAUGGGUGUGCGGCUGAUUAGAUAGUUGGCGGGGUAACGGCCCACCAAGUCUACGAUCAGUAGCUGAUGUGAGAGCAUGAUCAGCCACACGGGAACUGAGACACGGGCCCGACUCCUACGGGAGGCAGCAGUAAGGAAUAUUGGACAAUGGACGCAAGUCUGAUCCAGCCAUGCCGCGUGAAGGAUUAAGGUCCUCUGGAUUGUAAACUUCUUUUAUAAGGGACGAAAAAAGGCUUUUCUAAGUCGUCUGACGGUACCUUAUGAAUAAGCACCGGCUAACUCCGUGCCAGCCGCCGCAGUAAUAC